rnacentral:lncRNA from 1 species
UAGAGCACUUGCUGCCCAGCCCUGGCUACACAUAUAUCUGGGUUUGUUUUUAAAAUGGUGUUGCCUGGGCCUAAUCCCAGAGCAAUGGAAUAAGUAUCUCUGAGUCAUUCUAAUAUCCAACUGCGGGUGAGGACCACUGGUGAAGUGAACAAGAACGGACUGACAGGGCAUGAUUCCAGAUCACGAUUUCAGAACGCAUCCUGGCCAGCAGGGAGCUGCCCGAGUUAUCCUCAGGAACACCUUGGCCUCCUGAGAAUCUGCCCAACCAAAAUUCCUGGGAGCAGGGCCAGACUCACUCAGGCGAUUUCUGGUCUUGCCGGGGAAUCAGUUUUGAGCCAGAACCUAUUCCAAGUUGGGAGGUGAGUAGAACUUCGCCCAAAUAUCAACCAGCUCU